rnacentral:rRNA from 1 species
UACGUAGGGGGCAAGCGUUAUCCGGAAUUAUUGGGCGUAAAGCGUGCGCAGGCGGCACCUCAAGUCUGCUGUCAAAGACCGGGGCUUAACCCCAGAAAGGCAGUGGAAACUGAAGUGCUAGAGUGCAGUAGGGGUAGAGGGAAUUCCCGGUGUAGCGGUGAAAUGCGUAGAGAUCGGGAAGAACAUCGGUGGCGAAAGCGCUCUGCUGGACUGCAACUGACACUCAGGGACGAAAGCUAGGGGAGCGAAUGGG